AUGGCCGAAUGCUUCAAUAGGGUGAUCAAAGGUGCACGUGGAUUACCCGUGACGGCAAUAGUUCAAUACACAUUUGACAAGAUGAAUGCGUACUUUGUAAAGUACUCGAUGCAAAUGGAUGCACAGAUAACGGGUGAGAACCCGCGCAAGUACAAGUACAAGUUCCCACCCAAGGUUGAUGAAUGGUUGGUAUUUCAAUCACGGAAGGCGGACUCAGAAGAAGCUAUAUAAUACGACAACGAAGAGAAGUACGAAGUGAAAGAGCCAGGAGGAACCACAAACGAUGGCCGCCAACAUGGAGGUCGGGCUUUCAAGGUGUCGUUAACACAAUGUGAUUGCUCUUGCGGGAGGCCAUUGUUGCUUCAUCUCCCAUGCUCACACUUGUAUACCGCCGGUCGCGUUAGGAAUGUGGACAUCAAUCACCCACGCACCAUGAGGGAGUCGGAGUUCUCAAUCAUGACGGUCAAGAAAACAUGGGCUCCCCGCUUUCACCCAUAUCUUGACCAAUCACAAUGGCCGGAGUACCAUGGUGUUCAACUAUGGCCGGAUCCGGAGUUGAAGGUUGUUAAACGGGGUAGACGUAAGACAAAGCGUCUUAGAGGCAACAUGGACGGAUGGGGCCAUGGUGGCCGCCGCGAAGCGGGCAAUGACCAAUUCCAAGAGCCUCGUGAGAGCUCCCGUUGUGGGGAGUGCAAAGGUCAUGGCCGCAAUAAAAAAAAUGUACGAAACCAAGGAAAAGGUCCAAGAAAAAUGAUGCAAGCACAAGCCAACAAGGAGCUACAGAAGGAAGCCAACCAAGUGGUAGCCAACAAGUGCCAAGCCAACCAAGUGGUAGCCAACAAGUGCCAAGCCAACCAAGUGUUAGCCAAAGAGGAUCUAGGCAACAAAGAGGUCGACAACUAG
rnacentral:rRNA from 1 species